GGCGGACGGGUGAGUAAUGCUUGGGAAUAUGCCUUAUGGUGGGGGACAACAGUUGGAAACGACUGCUAAUACCGCAUGAUGUCUUUGGACCAAAGUGGGGGACCUUCGGGCCUCACGCCAUAAGAUUAGCCCAAGUGGGAUUAGCUAGUUGGUGAGGUAAUGGCUCACCAAGGCGACGAUCCCUAGCUGGUUUGAGAGGAUGAUCAGCCACACUGGGACUGAGACACGGCCCAGACUCCUACGGGAGGCAGCAGUGGGGAAUAUUGCACAAUGGGCGCAAGCCUGGUGCAGCCAUGCCGCGUGUGUGAAGAAGGCCUUCGGGUUGUAAAGCACUUUCAGUAAGGAGGAAAGGUUAAGUGUUAAUAGCACUUAGCUGUGACGUUACUUACAGAAGAAGCACCGGCUAACUCCGUGCCAGCAGCCGCGGUAAUACGGAGGGUGCGAGCGUUAAUCGGAAUUACUGGGCGUAAAGCGUAC
rnacentral:rRNA from 1 species